GGGGGUUUAGCUCAGUGACACAGCACAUGCCUGGUAAGCAUGAGGUCAUGAGUUUAAUCGCCA
rnacentral:tRNA from 1 species